rnacentral:rRNA from 1 species
GACGAACGCUGGCGGCGUGCUUAACACAUGCAAGUCGAACGAAGUGGCGAACGGGUGCGUAACGCGUAAUCAACCUGCCCUUCAGAGGGGGACAACAGGUGGAAACGACUGAUAAUACCGCAUACUGAAGGCGGGGAUUGCGUCUGAUUAGCUAGUUGGAGGGGUAACGGACCACCAAGGCGAUGAAAAGUAGCCGGUCUGAGAGAAUGAACGGCCACAGUGGGACUGAGAUACGGCCCAGACUCAUACGGGAGGCAGCAGUGGGGAAUCGUCCGCAAGGGACGAAAGCCUGACGGAGCAACGCCGCGUGAGUGAUGACGGCCUUCGGGUUGUAAAGCUCUGUUAAUCGGGACGCGGUACCGGAAUAGAAAGCCACGGCUAACUACGUGCCAGCAGCCGCGGUAAUUC